AUACUGAUGAAGAGUCCAAAACUAGGACGAAACAGCUGUCCAGUAA
rnacentral:hammerhead_ribozyme from 1 species